CUUUCCUAUAACUUGACAUUGGGUCAUGUUUUAAAAUGUGCAGGAUAGGUGGGAGACAAUGAGAUAGAAACGCUAGUUUUUAUGGAGUCGUCCUUGAGAUACCACCCUUUUUAAAAUGUGACUCUAACUCCAAUUUGGAGAACAGUGUUUGGUGGGUAGUUUAACUGGGGCGGUUGCCUCCUAAAAUGUAACGGAGGCGCGCAAUGGUUGACUAGCAUCGGAUGGAAAUCGGUGCGAUAGUGUAUUCGCAUAAGUCAGCCUGACUGAAAGACCUACAAGUCGAUCAGACACGAAAGUGGGCGAAAGUGAUCCGGCAUCUAAGAAUGGAAUUGAUGUCGCUCAACGGAUAAAAGUUA
rnacentral:rRNA from 1 species